rnacentral:rRNA from 1 species
CCUACGGGUGGCAGCAGUGAGGAAUAUUGGUCAAUGGACGAGAGUCUGAACCAGCCAAGUAGCGUGAAGGAUGACUGCCCUAUGGGUUGUAAACUUCUUUUAUAUGGGAAUAAAAUGUUCCACGUGUGGGAGUUUGUAUGUACCAUAUGAAUAAGGAUCGGCUAAAUCAGUGCCAGCAGCCGCGGUAAUACGGAGGAUACGAGCGUUAUCAGGAUUUAUUGGGUUUAAAGGGAGCGUAGGGGGAUUGUUAAGUCAGUUGUGAAAGUUUGCGGCUCAACCGUGAAAUGGCAGUUGAAACUGGCAGUCUUGAGUACAGUAGAGGUGGGCGGAAUUCGUGGUGUAGCGGUGAAAUGCUUAGAUCUCACGAAGAACUCCGAUUGUGAAGGCAGUUCACUGGACUGCAACUGACACUGAGGCUCGAAAGUGUGGGUAUCAAACAGGAUUAGAUACCCCGGUAGUC